rnacentral:rRNA from 1 species
GACGAACGCUGGCGGCGUGCUUAACACAUGCAAGUCGAACGGAAAGGCCCUGCUUUUGUGGGGUGCUCGAGUGGCGAACGGGUGAGUAACACGUGAGUAACCUGCCCCUGACUUUGGGAUAACUUCAGGAAACUGGGGCUAAUACCGGAUAGGAUCUCCUGCUGCAUGGUGGGGGUUGGAAAGUUUCGGCGGUUGGGGAUGGACUCGCGGCUUAUCAGCUUGUUGGUGGGGUAGUGGCUUACCAAGGCUUUGACGGGUAGCCGGCCUGAGAGGGUGACCGGCCACAUUGGGACUGAGAUACGGCCCAGACUCCUACGGGAGGCAGCAGUGGGGAAUAUUGCACAAUGGGCGGAAGCCUGAUGCAGCAACGCCGCGUGCGGGAUGACGGCCUUCGGGUUGUAAACCGCUUUCGCCUGUGACGAAGCGUGAGUGACGGUAAUGGGUAAAGAAGCACCGGCUAACUACGUG